UGCAUCCUAGGAAGGUGCACCUUCACUGUAUCUAAAUCAUAUCUUAAAAACUAACUUAAGCCAGCAGCUCUGAUUUCAGCUGGGCUUGGGAUUCGUCCCUCCCAGGCAUCCCUGAGCUGCUCCAGGCAGAUUCAAGCCACCACCAGGGAACCUCAGGUCCCUCAGACAUGGCUGGGAGUCCAGAAGCCAGACCCUCACCGGGUUCCUCCUCGAUCCCCAAUUGCUGGUCAUGUGUGGGACAUUCUCAGCAGCAAAGGGCAGCUUUGUCUUUAAAAUCAUCAGCUGGUGUAGCUGAAUCUCUGUUUUCCAGGCAGCGCACAGAAAUAUUCCUACCUGAGGAGGGGAGUGGUAUCCAUGCUAAAAUGCCUCAAAGUUGUCCUGCGGUCACCAUCACAACAAAUGCAAAUUCGUUUGACUUCCCAGACAGGGCUUCAUCUUUAUGGGAGAAAAGACCAUCCUUGGCUUCAUUAGCAAAGAGGCACCGGGAGAAGCCAUGAGCGAGCAAGCGGCUGGUUAAGCAAGAAAGAGAAAAGCAAAGAUUGACCUAGUUUGGAUAAAAUGGGAUCUCCCCUGAACCUUUCCCAGAUGGAAAUCUCACUAAACUCGAGCCCUCUGCGGCUCAGU